UCUAUGGUGAAUGGAUUUGGCUCAUAGACAUAAUUUUUGCCCUAUUUCUUACAAUUUGAAUUUUUUGUAUUCUAUUUUAUGCUAUGAACACCUUUGUGGUAGCAUUGCUAAACAUCAAAAUAAGUUUUUUAUCUUCAAUCAGUUAUGUAAAAGCAGAUCUCAGGGUACACAGGAAAUAAUUAUAUUUAUAAAUACCGUAUAUCAUUCUAUUUUUAUGUAAUUUUUGUUCCUAACAUUUUGAAGAACAAAUUCUUUUAACUUUCAAAAAUCUGUCCACAUAAAAACAUCUGUUUAUUUGUUUUUUUUUUUAAUCAUGGCUGGGAUAUUUUCUGCAGAGCUCUAUCUCAAAAUUUAACAAAGUAUUAAAAUUGAAUAAUAUUAAAUUUAAUAAUUGAGAGUACAUUAUCAUUUUGAAAAAUUCCCUGCAUUUUCUAUUCUCCAGUAAAAUAUUAGUUCAUUUUUUAUGGCGCAGUUAUUAAUCACCUUUGCCCACGUAGCCUGGUUGUCUAUCAUCAUACAGUCUUAAUACUUGCUUUCCUGAGAGAAUCUGGUUCUCAUGCUAAGAAAUAGAAAAAGCUUGUGCACGUGACACUUUAUCUCCAAGAAAAAUAAUUCUUGGUUUUCGCUGAAUAUCAUUUAUAAGGCAAGAGAUGGUUAGGUUUUCCAAACGUGAACGGUAAGUGUCCACUUUCAUAGCAUUUUUAGUAAAAGAGGCAGUCUCACUUAGGGGGAAGGCCAUUUUAAUGUUAGGAUCUCCUAGCAGGAAAAGAAGCUUGUCACAUCUCUCUCUAAUAGUGAAGGAUUUCAGUUCCCCUUUAGGCAGACAUUUGCACCUAGUAUUUUCCAAUUCUGUAAUGCAAACAUUCACAGAGAGGUUAAAUACAAUGUUGGCUUGGCAAUAUGUAUGCAGAAAAGCUGCACGCGUUUUGCACAGGCUUCCUCGAAUUUAACCCUGGGUCAACAGACAUGUUUAAAUGUGGACUUGAACAUAAAUGGUGCCUCGAAAAGAGAGUCAACCAGUGGGAAGUUUUUAUAAAAUGUCACAGUCGAUGUACGAACAAGAUCUCGAAAGGAAAAGAAAAAAAAAAGUGGGAAAGAUGUUCCCAAAUCCCUAGGUUGAACACAUAUUUCAUCAUUUUAAUUUGAUUACUAUUCCAAAUCACGAGGAGCCAAAUUGGAGGUACCAUGAUCCACUAACAUUUUCUUUUCUGCUUUCCUGAUAUGUUCUCUCCGUUUCCAACUCUUCUGUUUCCAGCCAGUUGUACCAUAUGAAACUGACAGCAAUUGUUCUGAUUCAUGGUUUAGGAGGAGUAGCUGAUUAAUCCCAUGUCAGCAGUCUUGACCCGACGUGGAAAAUAGAACCUUAGACGGCCCACUCAGCAAUAUAUCAGGCAGCAGAGUUGUGCGGCUUGCCUUGCUCUCAGAUGUAAUGAAAGUUUAGGGCAAUGCUGAACAGUGAUUUGAUGCCCCCUCCCCCCUUUUAACCUAGGUUUCAAAAGAACAUUCUGGCGCAGGGUGAGAAGGCAGUGGGGAGAAAGGGUGACCAAUUAAGAUUUUCUGGGACAAAAUCUUGGUUUCAAAAUAUUUUAUUUGUGUCCUCCAAGAAAUGCUGUAAACAUUUUUUUCCUUAAGCAUAAUUUACCGAUUCAAAAAAAAAAAAAAUAGUAACGGGUUGUAUGUGUUUAUCCUAAACCCUUACAUUUUCAACCUUGGCAUUUUUUUUCUUCCUCUUUGAUGACUAUAGAAUGCCCUUCUUUCUGCCUUUUAGGCAGAGCUCCAGUUGUGCUUAUUAGAAAACAAUUGUAAAGAACUCCAAAUUUCAGAAUAAUGUGUGGUAAGACACGUUCAAUUUUAAAGACAAUGUACAUGUUAUAUUUUAAAAACACAAAAGACAAGCUUGGAGGAAUCCAGUUAGUCCUAAAGAUGGAAGUUUUCCACUAAAGCCUUAAACAAGGCAUGCAUUUCUACUAUAAAUUAGGCAUAAACCUUAGUAUUUUAUAUACAAUCUUCAGAACUUAGAAUUAAAAUAAAGGGAUAAAGUGGAAUUACAUGUUUUUCAAAGAGGACCACAGACACGAAGGGACGAAUGUGCGAAUUUUAUUUACAACGAUAAAGCAGAUUGAAAUGCCAAAGCAACUUGAAAAUCUGUCAAAUAAUGCUAAAUCUGAAAACACAGGGUGCUGGAAAUGGUGGUCACAGAAUACAAGUUGGAUUUCAUUACUGGAAGCCAUGCAUUACUAGUUAAAAAAUGAAAAAAGAAAAAGAAAAGAAAGGAAAAAAGCCCCCCACAACACAGCUACCUAGCAUAACUAGAUAGAGCUGAAAUGUGCUGAAAUCUUCCCGUGCAAACCGCAUAAUAGCAUUUGCAGUGGCCCCUUUCUGUCACCCACCGUAACCAUCAAGCUGGAUUCUGCUGCGGUCAGGUGCUCGGCCUCAGAGCUCUUAGGGUUGGCUGCAGAGAAUUCCGAAGCAAGACACAUUUGUACAAUUUUUCCUUGGACAAUAAUAAAUAGCACUUUGGGAUACAUUUAGAGUUUUUCCUCCAUCAAUUUGAAACAAAGUGUGCAGGAUUUUCUUGUGCAUCCUUCUAAAGAAAACAUUUUAUUUUGACCAGAUCCUUCACCAGGAAUGUGCAGCCCUUUGAUCAAGUAUCAUUUGCAUUUCUGUAUGGGGCAGGGGUUUAUGUUCUUUUCCUACAUACUGUCUACUCCAUGUAUCAUGCUGGUUCCUGUUAGUCAGCGUUUAAAACACUAGGUACCAAGUGUUGCCUAGUGAACAGAAUCCAUAUGUAUAAGCAGAAGACAAUAGGAUAGUGCAAUUUAAAAUUCAAAAUUAAUAGGUCCUUUGAAUGGGACAUAUUUUUACUAUGGGUGUUUUAAAUAAGUAUACGUUCAGAUAUACAAUGCAAUAUUUUGGUUUUUAAAUGCUGCAUCUUCAGAUGAGCCCUGUCUCAUACAUUAAAAAAAAAAAAAAUGUAAAGCAGAACAUGAAAUGCUUCUCAAGGCUUUUCUUCAGAGCCACACACUCUGCACAGACUGUUAAGGUGUGUAGCAUUAAAAAAUAAUAAUAAAGCAAACUCUGUUACAUUAUGUAGCCCAAAGAGUUCUUAAACAUGAAGCUCUGGUUUUACAAAAAUGUAGCUUUGGGAGGAUCAGUAAAGGCAUUGCUUUGUCGACAAAAAAUGGAAAGAAUUUGUAAGUGCAUGUAUGUAUGUAUGUUAAAUGAUCUUUACAUCAGUUUUUUUGUUUGUUUUUUGUUUUUUGUUUUGUUUUUAAGGAGGGCAUCAUUUUUUUUCUUUGUUUCACAGAGAAAUGUUAUGUUACGGUCCUUCCCUCAAAAAGCUGGUUAAAAAAAAAGUUUUUCCCUUUUCUGCAGAUUUGAAGGCAUCUUUUCAUAAAGAAAUGACCAAACCCUGUCUGCUUCAUUUAUCCAUGUGUGGCUAUUAAAAUUGCCUGGAUCUCAAAGACUUACAAACACCUUGCCAAUAAAGUAGUAGAUUAAACAACUGGCAUUAAAAAAAAAAAAAAAAGAUAACCAGUGAAUUUCCUCAUUAGCAGACAACUAUUUGGGGUGCUUUCAGGCUUGGAGCUUUAAUAUUUGGCCACAUUUUAAGUAGACAGGCUCUGGGUUUAAUCAAAGAGUAUAUUAUAGCAGACAUGCAAUGGUCAUUCAUUUUAUCAUUUUUAAGAAAAACAUUUCAGUUUAACACAGUUUUUCCUAAAAGAACAACAGCUUUAUUUACUAGGUUUCACUUGGCACUUUUUUUGGGAAAAAUAUGAUUCAAGUUUGCAUUCUGCAGCAUUGUGGUAGCGUUCAUCAAAAAUAAAAGCUAAGCAGAAUACAAAUUACAUAUCUCUCCAUCAGAGAGAGUUGAGGCUCCAAUGUCAAGAAUAUAUUAUUGGAGGAGAGGCUUUUUGUGUCUUCACUAAUCGGAGGGUUCUUUCUGCUUUUCCUCACCGACUGAACAAGGCAGCAUGCUGUAUCUAUGAAGAUGCUUGAUGUUUCUUAGAUAAUGUGGUUUGGAAGAUGCUGUUUGCAAGCUUAUUUGCUUCUGUGUUGUGUUUAUAAGCAGAAGAAUAUAAUUCAUUUCUGCCUAUCUGCUAGACUGGACAAAUCAAGGUGACAAUCCGUGGUUAGCUCUGUCAGGCCCUUUGUCCUACGGCUGCUGUGAAUGAAAGUACAAUGGGAGCAAAGUGGAAUAUAUAACAGUCCAGCUGCCUUGUUGUGACAGCCCAGUCCCACCACUGCAGUGUGUCAGCUCGUGUCUGUGUACGGGUAGCCAGUCCAUAAGAUGACAAUGCAAAUUGUGUGAAAAGUCUUCUAUAAGAUAACAAAUCAUGUUGGGGGUUGAGGGACGGGAGGAGAGGAAAAAGGGAGGUGGGACACAUGUCUUAGAAAAAUAAUGAUCCGUAAAAGGUUAUAUUUUUGGUACAGUGAUUCCAUUCAAAUGCAGGGCCCUCAUCCCAAUUCCGGCAUGUGUCUCAAAGACGCAGGUAGGCGCUUCUACUUAAAUUUAUCAUACCAUUUCUGUGUGCAAGUUUCUGCAUUAAUGUUACUUUUAGGGCUGUUUAUAUUUCAUUUACGCAUGCAAUUAAUCAUCUUUACUGUGUUGAUGCUACUGGCGUCAGCAGUGUGACUUAAUUAAAUUUGAAAUUAUAGUACAGUAAAUACAGGCUUCCAACUAGCCGGUCCAAAUUAAAUGCUGUGGUCUAUUUCUUACCCAUGGUGUUUUCCAAUUUAAGUGUUCAUUUGAAAAGGUUACAUUUCAGACUGAAAUCAGGUUU
rnacentral:lncRNA from 1 species